rnacentral:rRNA from 1 species
UACGGGGGGGGCAAGCGUUGUUCGGAAUUACUGGGCGUAAAGGGCUCGUAGGCGGCCAACUAAGUCAGACGUGAAAUCCCUCGGCUUAACCGGGGAACUGCGUCUGAUACUGGAUGGCUUGAGUGUGGGAGAGGAAUGCGGAAUUCCAGGUGUAGCGGUGAAAUGCGUAGAUAUCUGGAGGAACACCGGUGGCGAAGGCGGCAUUCUGGACCAACACUGACGCUGAUGAGCGAAAGCCAGGGGAGCAAACGGG